rnacentral:piRNA from 1 species
UCCGAUGUGACACAUGUCCUGCUCUCUGU